UACGAAGGGGGCUAGCGUUGCUCGGAAUUACUGGGCGUAAAGGGAGCGUAGGCGGAUAGUUUAGUCAGAGGUGAAAGCCCAGGGCUCAACCUUGGAAUUGCCUUUGAUACUGGCUAUCUUGAGUACGGAAGAGGUAUGUGGAACUCCGAGUGUAGAGGUGAAAUUCGUAGAUAUUCGGAAGAACACCAGUGGCGAAGGCGGCGAUCUGGGUCGAUACUGACGCUGAGGUGCGAAAGCGUGGGGAGCAAACAGG
rnacentral:rRNA from 1 species